rnacentral:rRNA from 1 species
UGGGGAAUAUUGCACAAUGGGCGCAAGCCUGAUGCAGCAACGCCGCGUGAGGGACGACGGCCUUCGGGUUGUAAACCUCUUUUGGCAGGGAAGAAGCGAAAGUGACGGUACCUGCAGAAAAAGCACCGGCUAACUACGUGCCAGCAGCCGCGGUGAUACGUAGGGUGCAAGCGUUGUCCGGCAUUAUUGGGCGUAAAGAGCUCGUAGGCGGUUUGUCGCGUCUGUUGUGAAAACCCGAGGCUCAACCUCGGGCCUGCAGUGGGUACGGGCAAACUAGAGUGCGGUAGGGGAGAUUGGAAUUCCUGGUGUAGCGGUGGAAUGCGCAGAUAUCAGGAGGAACACCGAUGGCGAAGGCAGAUCUCUGGGCCGUAACUGACGCUGAGGAGCGAAAGCAUGGGGAGCGAACA